rnacentral:rRNA from 1 species
CCUACGGGGCGCAGCAGUGGGGAAUAUUGGACAAUGGGCGAAAGCCUGAUCCAGCCAUGCCGCGUGUGUGAAGAAGGCCUUCGGGUUGUAAAGCACUUUCAGUGGGGAAGAAAGCCUUGGGGCUAAUACCCUCGAGGAAGGACAUCACCCACAGAAGAAGCACCGGCUAACUCCGUGCCAGCAGCCGCGGUAAUACGGAGGGUGCGAGCGUUAAUCGGAAUUACUGGGCGUAAAGCGCGCGUAGGCGGUCUGAUAAGCCGGUUGUGAAAGCCCCGGGCUCAACCUGGGAACGGCAUCCGGAACUGUCAGGCUAGAGUGCAGGAGAGGAAGGUAGAAGUCCCGGUGUAGCGGUGAAAUGCGUAGAGAUCGGGAGGAAUACCAGUGGCGAAGGCGGCCUUCUGGACUGACACUGACGCUGAGGUGCGAAAGCGUGGGUAGCAAACAGGAUUAGAUACCCCAGUAGUC